GCGCCGGUAGUCUAGCCUGGUUAGGACCUCAGCUUCCCAAGCUGAUGACCCGGGUUCAAAUCCCGGCCGGCGCA
rnacentral:tRNA from 2 species